GGAGGUUACUGCUAUCGAGGUUCGACUAAGCCAUGCGAGUCGAAUGUAGCAAUACAUGGCGAACUGCUCAGUAACACGUGGACAACCUGCCCUUUAGGUUGGGUAUAAACCCGGGAAACUGGGUAUAAUACCCGAUAGGUCUCGAUUGCUGGAAUGCAUCGAGAUUUAAAGCUCCGGCGCCUAAGGAUGGGUCUGCGGCCUAUCAGGUAGUAGUGGGUGUAGCGUACCUACUAGCCUACGACGGGUACGGGUUGUGAGAGCAAGAGCCCGGAGAUGGAUUCUGAGACACGAAUCCAGGCCCUACGGGGUGCAGCAGGCGCGAAAACUUUACAAUGCUGGCAACAGCGAUAAGGGAACCUCGAGUGCCAGGUUACAAAUCUGGCUGUCGAGAUGCCUAAAAAGCAUUUCAUAGCAAGGGCCGGGCAAGACCGGUGCCAGCCGCCGCGGUAACACCGGCGGCUCGAGUGGUAACCGUUAUUAUUGGGUCUAAAGGGUCUGUAGCCGGCCGGAUAAGUCUCUUGAGAAAUCUGGCAGCUUAACUGUCAGGCUUUCAGGAGAUACUGUCUGGCUCGAGGCCGGGAGAGGUGAGAGGUACUUCAGGGGUAGGGGUGAAAUCUUGUAAUCCUUGAAGGACCACCAGUGGCGAAGGCGUCUCACCAGAACGGACCUGACGGCAAGGGACGAAAGCUAGGGGCACGAACCGGAUUAGAUACCCGGGUAGUCCUAGCCGUAAACGAUACUCGCUAGGUGUCGGCCACGGUGCGACCGUUGUCGGUGCCGUAGGGAAGCCGUGAAGCGAGCCACCUGGGAAGUACGGCCGCAAGGCUGAAACUUAAAGGAAUUGGCGGGGGAGCACCACAACGGGUGGAGCUUGCGGUUUAAUUGGAUUCAACGCCGGA
rnacentral:rRNA from 1 species